rnacentral:rRNA from 1 species
AGAGGGUGAAAGGCCCGUACGGGUGGAGGUUUCAGACAAGUAAGGCAACUCACUAGGCCGGCCUUAGAGUCGGGUUGUUUGGGAAUGCAGCCCAAAGAGGGUGGUAAACUCCAUCCAAGGCUAAAUACUAGCACGAGUCCGAUAGCAAACAAGUACCGUGAGGGAAAGUUGAAAAGUACUUUGAAGAGAGAGUAAACAGUACGUGAAGCCGCAUGCAGGUAAACGGGUGGCGUCAAGCUGCAAGCCCAGAGGAUUCAGCCGGUUAGAGUGUAGUACGCGCUUGCGUGUCAAACGGCCAGUGUAAGAUUGGGUAGUCCACUGGAAGACAGUGGGCCCUGCCGCAAGGUGUGGGUGUGUGUACCGAGUGGAAGUCGGAGCACGCUAUCCGUCUGUUGGGCCAUCUAGCCGGUGCACUUUCUCUGUGGUGAACACCACGACCGGUGGAACUGCCAGUCUGCUAUGGUCAAGUCGUGUUUGGUCGGUCCUUGUGGCCUUCUGAAUGCGAUCACGGGCAAAUUCGGUGAACGGCGUAGAUGUGCUCUCGGGUAUGUCUGCGUGUUAUCGGCUACCGGUUGUCUUAACGGGCCUGCCUUACGAUUGUCAAGCCGUCGUAGGGUGGUCUGGUGGACCUUAGUGGUAAGAAUAACUGUGCAGGGCACUGGAGUUUUCGGCCUCAAAUGCAGCCAGCAUGCACGCUUGUGGUGUCAAUUGUGGGUGCUCUCGUGGCCUGCCUGUUAUCGGGUCUGAUUGUCGUGUUGCCUGCGCAAAGUGGGUUCGGCAGUGGCUCGGUGCAGGUUGGGUCUCGUGGGGUGUCUACAGUGUUGGUUGUAGUGGGCCUGAUAGUCAGUGGUGUAGUGGUAGACGAGCUACCCGACCCGUCUUGAAACACGGACCAAGGAGUUUAACAUGUGUGCAAGUCAUGGGGUCUUACGAAACCCAAAGGCGUAGUGAAAGUGAAGCUUCGUGUCCCUCGGGGCAUGGAGUGAGGUGAGAUCCCGUCGUUUCUCCGCCAGUCUCUUCGGUCAGAAGCAGGCAUUAGAGCGGCGGGCGCAUCACCGGCCCGUCCCAUGAUGUGGUCAUUGGAAAAGGCUGCUGUGGGUUCGC